AUACGGAGGUGGCUAGCGUUGUUCGGAAUUACUGGGCGUAAAGCGUACGUAGGCGGACUGAUCAGUUGGGGGUGAAAUCCCAGGGCUUAACCCUGGAACUGCCUUCAAUACUGUCAGUCUUGAGUUUGGGAGAGGUGAGUGGAAUUCCUAGUGUAGAGGUGAAAUUCAUAGAUAUUAGGAGGAACACCAGUGGCGAAGGCGGCUCACUGGCCCAUUACUGACGCUGAGGUACGAAAGCGUGGGGAACAAACAGGAUUAGAAACCCUAGUAGUCC
rnacentral:rRNA from 1 species